GUCUAUGGCCAUCCUACCCUGAACAAGCCUGAUCCUGUCUGAUCUCGGAAGCUAAGCAGAGUCGGGCCUGCUUAAUAUUUGGAUGGGAGACCACCUAAGAAGACCAGGUACUGUAGGCA
rnacentral:rRNA from 1 species